AGUGAACGCUGGCGGUAGGCCUAACACAUGCAAGUCGAACGGCAGCACAGUAAGAGCUUGCUCUUACGGGUGGCGAGUGGCGGACGGGUGAGGAAUACAUCGGAAUCUACUUUUUCGAGGGGGAUAACGUAGGGAAACUUACGCUAAUACCGCAUACGACCUACGGGUGAAAGCAGGGGAUCUUCGGACCUUGCGCGAUUGAAUGAGCCGAUGUCGGAUUAGCUAGUUGGCGGGGUAAAGGCCCACCAAGGCGACGAUCCGUAGCUGGUCUGAGAGGAUGAUCCGCCACACUGGAACUGAGACACGGUCCAGACUCCUACGGGAGGCAGCAGUGGGGAAUAUUGGACAAUGGGCGCAAGCCUGAUCCAGCCAUACCGCGUGGGUGAAGAAGGCCUUCGGGUUGUAAAGCCCUUUUGUUGGGAAAGAAAAGCAGCAGGUUAAUACCCCGCUGUUCUGACGGUACCCAAAGAAUAAGCACCGGCUAACUUCGUG
rnacentral:rRNA from 1 species